rnacentral:rRNA from 1 species
ACAUGCAGUCGAACGAUGAACGCAUUUCGGUGGGGAUUAGUGGCGAACGGGUGAGUAACACGUGGGCAAUCUGCCCUGCACUCUGGGACAAGCCCUGGAAACGGGGUCUAAUACCGGAUACUGACCCUCGCAGGCAUCUGCGAGGUUCGAAAGCUCCGGCGGUGCAGGAUGAGCCCGCGGCCUAUCAGCUUGUUGGUGAGGUAAUGGCUCACCAAGGCGACGACGGGUAGCCGGCCUGAGAGGGCGACCGGCCACACUGGGACUGAAACACGGCCCAAACUCCUACGGGAGGCAGCAGUGGGGAAUAUUGCACAAUGGGCGAAAGCCUGAUGCAGCGACGCCGCGUGAGGGAUGACGGCCUUCGGGUUGUAAACCUCUUUCAGCAGGGAAGAAGCGAAAGUGACGGUACCUGCAGAAGAAGCGCCGGCUAACUACGUGCCAGCAGCCGCGGUAAUACGUAGGGCGCAAGCGUUGUCCGGAAUUAUUGGGCGUAAAGAGCUCGUAGGCGGCUUGUCGCGUCGGUUGUGAAAGCCCGGGGCUUAACCCCGGGUCUGCAGUCGAUACGGGCAGGCUAGAGUUCGGUAGGGGAGAUCGGAAUUCCUGGUGUAGCGGUGAAAUGCGCAGAUAUCAGGAGGAACACCGGUGGCGAAGGCGGAUCUCUGGGCCGAUACUGACGCUGAGGAGCGAAAGCGUGGGGAGCGA